rnacentral:tRNA from 1 species
GCUUCGGUAGCUCAACUGGUAGAGCACAGAACUGAAGAUUCUGGGGAAUGAGUUCAAGUCUUGUCCGAAGCA